UAUACAUCUACUAUAGCAUAUAUAGAUCAGCAAUUACUUAUCUAAGAUAGUGGAUACAUGUACUGAAGUCAGCAAAGCAAGUUAUUUCAGUAUGAAAUACACUGUUUAUCUAUAGAUGAGUUUUUUUUUUUUUUUUUUAGAUGUUUAUUCAUAGAUGAGUUUUUUCAGGGAAUUCCCGGAAUUCCGGAAAUUCACAUCAAGUUUCCGGGAAAUUCCGGAUGCUUUUUGCUAUUGAUUUGUAAAAAGUUAUAUAAAAUUUUAAAUACGACAUGGUUUGCAUUUAAGCAAUUAUGUUUUCUAUAAAUCAAAUUUUCACGAGAUCAAUUUUUUCAAAAAUUUUUUUUCUUUUUAAUUCAUUCAAAUUAACUUUUUCGAAUAUUAGAAAUUCUUUUUCUUAAGAAGUUAAUUGAUGUAAAUUCCGUUUUAAACGUUUGCAAAAGAUCUUGUCGUUAAAAAUUACUAUCAAGAAGAAAGAAAAGAAAAUGCAAGUUAAGAGUUUAUCUGACAUUUCUGAGAUAGACAAAAAUAUUAAAAACAAGUUUCGCUGGAAUUGGCUUCAAGAGAAAGACUAUAAUGAUGAGCAUUAUUCAGCCUAUAUUACAAAGAUAAAUAAAGCCGGAGCGGUACGAUGUACAAUAUGUAAUAAAGACUUUUAUUAUGGAAGUGAAGGUAAAAAAUUUUUACUCAGCCACUCAAAGUCUAAAAUGCAUCGUCAAAACUGCGCAAUGAUUAAGUCCAAUGAAGCCAUACCGUCGUCAUUUUUUACUAAUUUAAAAAAAACAGAUAUGUGUAUAUAACGUGCAUAUUGGCAGUACUUGCACAAAGAGAGUAAAGCCUACCAUUAAACCUAUUGUAAGUUUUAGAGACAGGACAUCAAAUGCAGAAGCUAUGACACUCGCAUUUAUUUGUGAACACAAUCUUCCAAUAUCUUUAACAUCCCAUAUGAUUGAAUACGCAAAGGAAAUGUCAUGACCCAGUUAACAAAAAUAUCUGUGGUCAUUUGCAAACUGCAAGCAAAUGCUAUAAUAAAAAAAUGAAAUUCCAUCGGAAAAAUAGAAAAGUUGAAGAAAGAUUUUUAAAUAUAAAUUCAACGUGGAAAAAAAAAUUGCCUUACAUGAACAGUGCAAAAAAGUUAAAGAAUCUAUUAUUGAUCAUGCAAAAAAGUGCAGAAAAAGAAAAGCUGAUGAAUGCUUCACAACAGAAAAUUAUAAGAAAAAAAAGUAUUGAUUUCUGACAUUUAUUCCAUUGUCUUAAAUUUUAUAUUUUAAAUAUAAAGAAAUUAUUGCGCUUUGCAGGUUGCUUAUGUUAAAACUUUGAUAUUAUAUUUCAUUUUAGAGAAACAUAAUUAAUGAGUAGUUUUUAGUUUCUUUAUUUAUCCCUUUACCAACGUUCCAGAAUUUACCCACAUACCUUCGUCAAUUUAUUGACCCUAAAUUUUUCCGGGAUUUUCCGGAAUUUUCAUGAAAAUGACUUUCCGGGAUUUUC